CAUGGAUUAUUGAUGAUAAAUAUUCACAUUUAUACCAUUUUUGAUAUAGAAUAGAAAAUGUAAAUGUUUUUCUAACUUAAAACGACGUCUUUGAUCACAUUGAGAGUAUCGCUUGCAUCGGGAAUAUCAUCGUAAUCCAUUAUAAAAGAUAACAUCAAAGACGUCAUUGAGUUGUUCUUUUCCGCUUGAAACGACGUCGUUUCACUUCAUGAGUAUCGCUAGCAUCGGGAAUAUCACCGCUAUCCACUAUAUAAGAUGUCAUUGAGUUGUUUAGACUCCACGUCUUCUUCUACUCUUAUCUUAUGAUAUGCUCUAUAGUCUCUAGGUGGCACAACCGUGGGAUAUGUUUCUGAGAAUUUUAAUUCGCCAUGAUGUUUCCAGCUCAAAUCCAAGCAUGAUUGCUGCAAGGAUACUGAGGUGUAUAAAAUCCAAGGAAUGCCUAUGACUUACCUUUGUGACACAGAUCACCAACCAAUACUCGACUCGAAGAGGAAAGAUGGGCCUAAUUGCCACUCGAGCUUCAAGGGAAAGGCUUGUGAGAAUUGUGGUUCUGAGAACCACAAACCGAAGAGAAGAAGCGAUCGUGUUCACAUGAAUGCCACACUGCACACCUGUUCGUUCUGAGAGAGCUAAACAAACCAGUGGAUACUCUGAAGCAGAUCCGGCUCUCAAAUCUUACAGCUCUGCAGGUCAUCCUUUUCGUAUCACAUACAGGUUUAAUAAUUCCAGAUUGCUUGUUCGAAGAACAUCUUUCUGCCAAAGUAAGACUUCCCAGAUUACGCUUUCGAAUUGAAAAUUUUCCUGCCAACGGGACACAGAGGCCGCGAUUAUCGUGACAUUCUACGAGCUGUACUAGAGUUUCGAUACAGGGUCCAGAAAGCAAAGUAGAUGUUAAUACUGUAUAGCAGAUUCCAUGAUUGUUCCACAUUCAAGUGAAAUUAAACAAGCAAUGUUCCAACAUAA